rnacentral:rRNA from 1 species
AUUGAACGCUGGCGGCAGGCCUAACACAUGCAAGUCGAACGAGUGGCGGACGGGUGAGUAAUGUCUGGGAAACUGCCUGAUCGAGGGGGAUAACUACUGGAAAAGGUAGCUAAUACCGCAUACCAUCGGAUGUGCCCAGAUGGGAUUAGCUUGUUGGUGGGGUAACGGCUCACCAAGGCGACGAUCCCUAGCUGGUCUGAGAGGAUGACCAGCCACACUGGGACUGAGACACGGUCCAGACUCCUACGGGAGGCAGCAGUGGGGAAUAUUGGACAAUGGGCGCAAGCCUGAUGCAGCCAUGCCGCGUGUGUGAAGAAGGCCUUCGGGUUGUAAAGUACUUUUAGCGGGGAGGCGUUACCUGCAGAAGAAGCACCGGCUAACUCCGUGCCAGCAGCCGCGGUAAUUC